AGUCCAUGGUGAGGGCACCUUCUCAAUAAUUCCUUGUAUCUCUCCCAUGAAUCGUAUAAAUUCUCUACAUUGAUCUGAGCAAAGAAAGAGAUAUCAUUACUCAACUU
rnacentral:snoRNA from 1 species